GUCCCCUGCACGUUUCCAUCUGCAGUAAGUCUCCUGUCAUGCAGAAACCAGUAUGCAGCCUUAUGUCCUUUUCACCUAUCCACUCACGCUGAGCGAGGAAGAGGAUCGUUCAUGUAUCUAUCAGUGAACACACAUGCCGGAAAAGAUGACAUCCACAUAGACAGACGGCAGAUAAAACAGCACUGUCAUCCAACCUUAAGACCUCUGCUGAUGGGGAGCUAAAAUGUUAAAGGUUCGGAGUGGGGGGUGACCGCUGGCGUUCAUACCCGUCAUGUGCAUCCAACCACCUCCGUCAGUUGAGAUGAAACGCACGUCCUGAUUGGUUGAAUUUUCUUCAUGGGGCCACAGCACAAGCAGUGAAGCAAGCAAAUUGGUGUGAGGAACCGAAAGGGGGUUGGUCAGCUGUCACUCUGAAUUUGUGGUGUUACUGCAGAACCCCAACAGAGUUGAACACACAGCCCCUGACCUAAUACAGUAUGUGUUUUUGAGUUUAUAAUUGGUUUGGGAAACCAUGAAGCCAUUCGAUGCAUUCAGUAUUUCAUUUCUAAAACAUGCAAACUGCAAAUUUAGCAUCUUUAGUUGUGCCAGGACAAGUAGGUUAAUGAAGUCAGUGGAGCUACACACAUCAUAGGUCUCUGAUAGAGUGCUGUGGUUGUGUCCAAAUCUCCGGACGGUUUUAGGAAAACAUCAAAGGUAGAGGUCUUCACGGGUCCACUUUGAUCUGAAAACUCAAGGUCUGACCUGAGAUGGUUUGGGUCUAAAAGUUUCACGUGUGUCAUGGACACGGUUCAGGUAAUUUUAAAUAAAUAUUUAUUUUAUGAACAGACCCGAGAAGACCUAAACUAUCUCACAUGUGUGCAUCGAGUCCUUUUCCAACGCCCCUCUGUUUGCCAAAAGCCCUUGCGACAUUGUGUGCCUGGCGGUAGGUUCAUUUUCUUUGAGACAGAACUGUCAAUCAAUUUUGUUUAAUGCACAUUUUAGUGGUUACCUUGGUGUUGUUGUCAAAUAACAAGGGAAAAUAAAUGGAGCAGCAUUUCUUUCAGUUUGAC